AGUCACUGACAUUAGAUACCCCGGUAGUCCAGGGUGUAAACGCUGCAGACUUGGUGUUGGGGACCCUUCGGGGGUGUUCAGUGCCGGAGAGAAGUUGUUAAGUCUGCUACUUGGGGAGUACGUCCGCAAGGAUGAAACUUAAAGGAAUUGGCGGGGGAGCACCACAACGGGUGGAGCUUGCGGUUUAAUUGGAUUCAACGCCGGAAAUCUUACCGGGACCGACAGCAACAUGAAGGCCAGGCUGAAGACUUUGCCGGAUUAGCUG
rnacentral:rRNA from 1 species